rnacentral:sRNA from 1 species
GCUUUUCAAAUCCUAACUUAGAGCGCUCAUGUGUGUAUGAAAAAAAAUACAGAGAGACAUAUCUUAGUGGCGAGAGGACGAAGGACGGGGAAUGCUAUUGCAUGGAUGGAUAUAUAGAUUGCCAACCCAAAACACUGGACAUGUCCUCUGCCCGCUUCGUAUCCAGAGACCGAAUUCCCCAAAAAUAAUAAAGGUUACAUGUAACGCAAUGCACAAAGAAUCACCAGACAAGUUUCUUUCAACGAAUAAAGAAAAUGUAAAUUUUAGAAAUCAAUUAAAAAA